rnacentral:lncRNA from 10 species
UAGAGUGCAGUGGCGCGAUCUCUGCUCACUGCAAGCUCCGCCUGCCGGGUUCACGCCACUCUCCUGCCUCAGCCUCCGGAGUAGCUGGGACUACAGGCACCGGCCACCACGCCCGGCUAAUUUUUUGUAUUUUUAGUAGCGACGGGGUUUCACCGUGGUCUCCAUCUCCUGACCUCGUGAUCCGCCCGCCUCGGCCUCCCAAAGUGCUGGUAUUACAGGUGUCAGCCACCGCGCCUGACCAACAGUAAAAAAGGAUGAGGUGAACUGCCUUGGUCAGACUCUGAGAAAUACUCACAGUUCCUCCUUCCUCCUGGCCAAGUCCUUGAAGAAUCAAAGCAGCAAAUAAACAAGGUGGAACAAGAGUGAAAAUGAGAAUGCAUUUAUCUUCUCCACUGAACGACCCCAAGUCCUGUGUCAGGGCUGAGAUGUUUGAGUUGCUCCCAGUUUUAUGCUACCAUGAAUGAGGUAAUCACCAACAUUGAAACACUUGUUUAAAAACUCUUCGAAUCUUGAAAAUAAGUUCAAAGACCUCUAACAGAAGUGAGAAGUGAAUAGUUCUGUUGCAUACAUUUAAUUUUGCAGUUACAUUUUUUUGUUGCUUUUAAAUAAAAACACUCAAAAAGCCUAAAAAAUCACCCCAUCUCAGUCAUGCAUGGCCAUCACCUAAGAGAGUGCCAGAAAUGUAAAAUCUGAUGCUCCACC